AUUGAACGCUGGCGGCAGGCCUAACACAUGCAAGUCGAACGAGCGGCGGACGGGUGAGUAAUGUCUGGGCAACUGGCUGAUGGAGGGGGAUAACUACUGGAAACGGUAGCUACUACCGCAUACCAUCAGAUGUGCCCAGAUGGGAUUAGCUAGUAGGUGGGGUAACGGCUCACCUAGGCGACGAUCCCUAGCUGGUCUGAGAGGAUGACCAGCCACACUGGAACUGAGACACGGUCCAGACUCCUACGGGAGGCAGCAGUGGGGAAUAUUGCACAAUGGGCGCAAGCCUGAUGCAGCCAUGCCGCGUGUGUGAAGAAGGUCUUCGGAUUGUAAAGCACUUUAAGUUGGGAAGCGUUACCUACAGAAUAAGCACCGGCUAACUUCGUGCCAGCAGCCGCGGUAAUAC
rnacentral:rRNA from 1 species